UGAGAAUCUGGCUUCAGGUUCGGGACAACAGUUGGAAACGGCUGCUAAUACCGGAUGUGCCUUAUGGUGAAAGAUUUAUCACCUGAAGAUGAGCUCGCGUCUGAUUAGCUAGUAGGUGUGGUAAGAGCGCACCUAGGCGACGAUCAGUAGCUGGUCUGAGAGGAUGAUCAGCCACACUGGGACUGAGACACGGCCCAGACUCCUACGGGAGGCAGCAGUGGGGAAUUUUCCGCAAUGGGCGAAAGCCUGACGGAGCAAUACCGCGUGAGGGAGGAAGGCUCUUGGGUUGUAAACCUCUUUUCUCAGGGAAGAAUAAAUGACGGUACCUGAGGAAUAAGCAUCGGCUAACUCCGUGCCAGCAGCCGCGGUAAUACGGAGGAUGCAAGCGUUAUCCGGAAUGAUUGGGCGUAAAGCGUCCGCAGGUGGCAAUGUAAGUCUGCUGUCAAAGCGUCUGGCUCAACCAGAUAAAGGCAGUGGAAACUACAUAGCUAGAGUAAGGUAGGGGUAGAGGGAAUUCCUGGUGUAGCGGUGAAAUGCGUAGAGAUCAGGAAGAACACCGGUGGCGAAAGCGCUCUGCUGGACCUUAACUGACACUGAGGGACGAAAGCUAGGGGAGCGAAUGGGAUUAGAUACCCCAGUAGUCCUAGCCGUA
rnacentral:rRNA from 1 species